GUGUUAAGUAAGAAUCACAAUGUGGCAUCUGACUUUGGUGCAUGUGUUAAGUAAGAAUCACAAUGUGGCAACUGACUUUGGUGCAUGUGUUAAGUAAGAAUCACAAUGUGGCAACUGACUUUGGUGCAUGUGUUAAGUAAGAAUCACAAUGUGGCAACUGACUUUGGUUUUAAGUAAGAGUUUCAAUGUUCAACUGAUCCCACAAAUAGAUUUUCGCUUUGCAGUUUUUCAAUUAGCUACACAUUUGAGAGGGUCUACUCUGGUAGUAGAAUCUAAUAAACGUUCUCUUAUUGUUUUGUUUGUUUUGCUUCAUAAAUCUUAAAUCAAUCAGAGCCAUGCUGUAUAAUGUAAUCAAUAUCUAAAAAAAAAGACGUCUUUGUAAAGCAAAGCAAAAAUUUAACUUUUUGUUUUUAAAAUGUAAUUUCACAUCUGACUUACAUACAUAUCAUACAUAGUCUCCUAUACUUGAAUCUAUAAACAACUUGUUUCCAUACCAGAAAUAAUUCUACAGAAGUUAGGUAAAUACUUUAAAUAUUUUGAAUGUUCUGCAGUAUUUAAUGUUGUCAUUAAUGUGGUCCUUUGACGAUACAUUUCUUUAUAUAAUAUUAAGACACUAUUUCUUCAUCUUUUCAUGACUUGAGCUGUACAUGAUCAUAAAUUCUAUUGCUGACAUUAUUUUGGAUGUAAUGUUAAUGAAAUAAUUUUUUGCCAGAUUAAACAUGGGCAAAUAUUUGAAAAAAAAAA